GCCUUCUUAGCUCAGCGGUAGUAGCGCUUGCCUAGUAAGCAAGAGGUCGAGAGUUCAAAUCUCUCAGAAGGCA
rnacentral:tRNA from 1 species